rnacentral:rRNA from 1 species
GACGAACGCUGGCGGCGUGCUUAACACAUGCAAGUCGAACGGAAAGGCCCUGCUUUUGUGGGGUGCUCGAGUGGGGAACGGGUGAGUAACACGUGAGUAUCCUGCCCUUGACGUUGGGAUAACUUCAGGAAGCUGGGGCUAAUACCGGCUAGGUGCUCCUGCAGCAUGGGGGGGGUUGGAAAGUUUCGGCGGUUGGGGAUGGACUCGCGGCUUAUCAGCUUGUUGGUGGGGUAGUGGCUUACCAAGGCUUUGACGGGUGGCCGGCCUGAGAGGGUGACCGGCCACAUUGGGACUGAGAUACGGCCCAGACUCCUACGGGAGGCAGCAGUGGGGAAUAUUGCACAAUGGGCGGAAGCCUGAUGCAGCAACGCCGCGUGCGGGAUGACGGCCUUCGGGUUGUAAACCGCUUUCGCCUGUGACGAAGCGUGAGUGACGGUAAUGGGUAAAGAAGCACCGGCUAACUACGUG